UCAAUACUAUAAUGACACAAAGUAUCAAUGAAGAAUUAUUAGUGUAUGAGGAGCCAAGAACAAUGUAUAAUGAACAAGAGGUUAUUGUAAUGCCAGCACAUAAUGAAGCAUAUACACAACAGAAAGUAGAAGAAGAAGAGUUGUACAUCUAACAUAUGAACAUUGAACAUACAUUAAUGCUCAUAGAGCACAUGCACAAAAUAAUGAGUUGCACUAAAAUUAUUGUAAAAUUUAAUUGUA